CUCCCAGAAAGGCUUCCGAAACUCCUGUGAAUAGCGACUGAAGAGAAGGCUGGGUCCUGGAGGAACCGGACGAGGGAGGUCAGGAUGCCUUGCUGACUCCCGACCCUCCCUCCCACAGCUCCUGCCAGGCUGCUCCACAACUCUUGCUCCUUGGAGCAGACGCUGCAGUGCAGCUGCUCCUUCCAGGGGUCCCCACGCCCUCCGUGCAGUGGCGGGUGGGAGGCGCCCUCUUGGGUGUGAAUGGCACAGACGGCAGCCCCAGGUGACGUCCACCACGUCCACCACGCUCGGGCCCUGGGCCAACAGCACCCUCCGGCUGCCCGGGAAGCCGGAAAUGGGCAUGGGACUUCUCUGUGAGGGAGAGAACGGAAACGGAACGCACUCGAUGAGCAUCCUCCUAAUGUCAGGUUCUCUGGUUUCUCAGAGGUCCAUGAAAGGGCUGGUGCAGGGUGUAGUCUACGGAGCCACUGCAGUCGCGUUGCUCUCCCUCUGCCUCCUCCCCCUCCUAGUGAACCACGUCAGAAUGAAGCAGGCAAAGACAACUGCAGCGAUCAGAGCAAAGAGCCCUAAAGUCAAAGCCAGCCAAGAAUCCGAGAUGUUGCUGAAGCCUAAGGAACCAGGAAAACCCACAAUCGCCCCGUCUCCUGAGAGACAGGUACAGGUGGGUCCCCCUCGUGUCUGGAGUCUAGUCUACCAGAAUAAGGAUCCUAAGAUCCACCGGGACAGGAGGGCACAGUGUUCUGAAGGAGUUGCCAUCCUCAAUCUUGUAGGACAGCUAACUGCCACAAUGUGCUGUCAGAGCAUUUUAUGGAUGAUGAAGGUAAGACCCAGAGAGGAAAGGAUGAAAAUUAAGAGAAAUAAUUUAAAGGAUAAUUAG